rnacentral:rRNA from 1 species
UACAGAGGUCUCGAGCGUUAGGCGGAAUCACUGGGCUUAAAGCGUGUGUAGGUGGAUCGUUAAGUACCUUGUGAAAUCCCACGGUUUAACCGUGGAACUGCUUGGUAUACUGGCGGUCUUGAGUCAGCUAGGGGCUACCGGAACAAAUGGUGGAGCGGUGAAAUGCGUAGAUAUCGUAAGGAAGACCAGUGGCGAAGGCGGGUCUCUGGACAGUUCCUGACGCUGAGGCACGAAGGUCAGGGGAGCAAACGGG